rnacentral:rRNA from 1 species
AAGAUGAGAUUUCUUUUAAGGGUCGUGGGAGAUGACCACGUUGAUAGGCUAUAGAUGUAAAGGCAGUAAUGUCAUAGUCGAGUAGUACUAAUAACCCGUAAGCUUAUGUAC